GCCUGCCGCCGCGUUCCGCGGGAGAGCUAUCGUAUUGGUCAACACCGCCGGAGAGACGGGCGGUGCCGCCCGCCUAUUGGUGGCGGGUGGCCGCGCCGGACGCGCUGACAGGCAGCCAAUCGGCGGCGCCGCACGGAGCUAACAGGUGAAGCAGGCUCAGAGUGGUGUCCAGCGCCUUGUACCUGCGCCCUGCUCUGGCAGCCACCAACAGAGCUGACUUCUCUCUGCAACCACUCACCUGUGCUCCUGGCAGACCGCAAGGCACCGAGGAGCAGUCUGUCCUGUCACCAUGUCACCCCAGAACACCCCGUGGGACAGACGGACUCUUUGCCAGCUGCAGCGCAGGAGCUGGUCGCACUCCCUCCCGCUGACACCACGUUUGAGUGUGUCCAGUUUGUAUGUGUAAGAACCGGUCUAGCCCCGGUUGGACUCAGUCCAUCUGAAGACCUGGCCGUGCUAAGCCAUCCAAACAGUGCCACAGCACAGGAAAGUUCACGCUUCUAAAGAAACACCGGGAUGGCAGUGCCCCCAUUUGGCUCUGCAGCCAGGGCUGCCCUGGUUACAGCUGCUGGCGCGGUCUGAGCAGCACUGGCUAUUGCCCACAACCACAACCGAUGCCAAAAAUGCACUCGCUGCACAAUUUCUCUACGUACAUGACUAGUAACAUGCAAUAAUUGAGCAUUACUUCAUGUAUUUUAGCUUAAUAAUGAAGACAAUAAAAAGACAAUUAGUUUUUUUAUUACUAUAGAAAGCACAGCAUUGUGAUAUUCAAAAAGAGAUUAUACAGAAAUAAUCUAAAAAUUAGUCUGGCACAAAGCCUUAGGUCGAUGUACUAAACCGACUGUCCAAGGACUAAAUUCACAGUGGACAGAGCUACUUCAACAACCCACCGUCCCCUCUUUUGCACAUUUUAAAACCAAAAACUGAGAAACACCUCUACAAGCAUUCUGAUCGGUGUAAUUACAAGUUACCUGAGUUUAUGUUCUUAGCUUUAUUCUGCGCUGUCAGCAAAUCAGAGCCUGGAUUACACAGCAAUCCCAAAACCAAAAUAUAUACCAAAAGCAGAGGUAAUGCCACCUGUGUUAUAGAGCAUUCAAUUUAUUUUUCCCCCUCCUCAUCAUUGGUCCCAUAAGGAAAUGAGACAGAUGAAAAUUCUUUGAAGUGGAGAAGAAAAGUUACGUCCUCCAACAAUCCUGUAUGAACACGCAAUUUGAAAAUUCAAGAUUAGCACCUCUAAAAUAUUAACAGCGCCAGACAGACAUUAUGCUGCGGAGCAUUAGGCCUUAUUUUCUCUCCUCCCUUAUCUGCUGGAUUUCAGGACCAGCAGCAGCAGACCCAACCCAUUCUGCUCAGGUUGCCACGGUCCUGGAAAACAAACACAAAGGGAACCGUGUGUGGCUCGGGUCAUUAUCCAAAGGUCGUGUUUGUGCUGAUGCAGUGAAAAUGGGUUUGGGUCACAGCAGUUCCUCCCGGCGAGAGGAUCCGCAUGGGGCUAUGGUCACUCCACCAGCACCAGCCACCCACAGCGGCUCCCAGGACCCUCUGCUGUCACAGGGGUCCCCAAGGACACCCCGCUUUGGUCCCUGUCAACAGCCAGAGACCAUCCCCACGCUUCUGCCGCCGCUCAGCUCGGUUUAAAGCAGAGCUUGAACUACUCUACCAGGGCAAGAAAGCCUCGUAGCAGCAAUACCAAAGCUCUUCUGCAGCCUCUCCCCCGAUCCAGCUGUCUGUGGUUAUUGCCCAGACACAGGGAUGGCAACAGGGACAAAGGACAUUGUCACACUGAGAACACAGGUUUGCACCUUACAGCAGCCACAACCCCCAAGAGCACUUCUCCGUGGCGCUAAUUAGACAAGCACAAGCUUUUUCUUUCAGAAACAUCCUCCCCUUAACUGAAAGGAUCAGACACAGCACAGAAAACCUCACCUAAACCAAAUGUCACGCACCCAUUGAAUUUUCACCUUUGUUAAAUAAUGUAACUGUCCCGGAAACGGUUCCUCAGCGAUGCUGAGGGCCAGCACACAAGCUCACAAGCUGUCCUCCAAAGAGCAGGGAAGCACAGUGGGUAUGCCAGGGCAGCAUGCAGCGGCAGUAAAUAACCCCGCGUUUGCUUUGUUCCUUCAUAAAAUAAAUGAUUAAUAGCUCAGUAUAGUCAGUCUGCUACUGAAGGCUUGCUGAACACUUUUGAUCAGUUUGAUUCAUUAACCUUUAAAACUGCCUCUAAAAGAGGCUUAAAGUCCAAAGGAGAAGCAUCACUUUAAAAUGAACACCUUGAUUUUAUUCAGAAAUCCUCAUUUUUGACAAACUGAGCUAAGCGUUGUGACACGCUGCUCCUCUUUAGAGGCGCUCAGCAUCUCACAGGUGCUGGGGAAGAAAUAACACAGUAAAAUAAGUUGAUGGAGACAAACAAAACCAUGUUCAUCUUGAAAUUCAAACCCCAUCAGGGCUGGGGGGAAAAAAUGGCAAUUCUUUGUGAUUCUUCAGCAUUUGGCCAAUUCACAGGUGGCUUCCCAACUGUCUCUUUAUUUCUUUUGGUUUUAAUGCUAAUAAAAAAGGAGCACAAA